UGUCUCCACCCGAGACUCAGUGAAAUUGAACUCGCUGUGAAGAUGCAGUGUACCCGCGGCAAGACGGAAAGACCCCGUGAACCUUUACUAUAGCUUGACACUGAACAUUGAGCCUUGAUGUGUAGGAUAGGUGGGAGGCUUUGAAGUGUGGACGCCAGUCUGCAUGGAGCCGGCCUUGAAAUACCACCCUUUAAUGUUUGAUGUUCUAACGUGGACCCGUGAUCCGGGUUGCGGACAGUGUCUGGUGGGUAGUUUGACUGGGGCGGUCUCCUCCUAAAGAGUAACGGAGGAGCACGAAGGUUGGCUAAUCCUGGUCGGACAUCAGGAGGUUAGUGCAAUGGCAUAAGCCAGCUUGACUGCGAGCGUGACGGCGCGAGCAGGUGCGAAAGCAGGUCAUAGUGAUCCGGUGGUUCUGAAUGGAAGGGCCAUCGCUCAACGGAUAAAAGGUACUCCGGGGAUAACAGGCUGAUACCGCCCAAGAGUUCAUAUCGACGGCGGUGUUUGGCACCUCGAUGUCGGCUCAUCACAUCCUGGGGCUGAAGUAGGUCCCAAGGGUAUGGCUGUUCGCCAUUUAAAGUGGUACGCGAGCUGGGUUUAGAACGUCGUGAGACAGUUCGGUCCCUAUCUGCCGUGGGCGCUGGAGAACUGAGGGGGGCUGCUCCUAGUACGAGAGGACCGGAGUGGACGCAUCACUGGUGUUCGGGUUGUCAUGCCAAUGGCACUGCCCGGUAGCUAAAUGCGGAAGAGAUAAGUGCUGAAAGCAUCUAAGCACGAAACUUGCCCCGAGAUGAGUUCUCCCUGAGACUUAGAGUCUCCUGAAGGAACGUUGAAGACGACGACGUUGAUAGGCCGGGUGUGUAAGCGCAGCGAUGCGUUGAGCUAACCGGUACUAAUGAACCGUGAGGCUUAACCUUACA
rnacentral:rRNA from 1 species